GACGAACCGUGCGAACGUUGUUCGGAAUCACUGGGCUUAAAGGGCGCGUAGGCGGGCUGUCAAGUCCGGGGUGAAAUCCUCCAGCUCAACUGGAGAAUGGCCUCGGAUACUGAUGGUCUCGAGGAGGAUAGGGGCACACGGAACUGUGGGUGGAGCGGUGAAAUGCGUUGAUAUCCACAGGAACUCCGGUGGCGAAAGCGGUGUGCUGGAUCCUUUCUGACGCUGAUGCGCGAAAGCGUGGGGGAGCAAACAGGG
rnacentral:rRNA from 1 species